UGGGGAAUAUUGCACAAUGGAGGGAACUCUGAUGCAGCGACGCCGCGUGAACGAAGAAGGCUUUCGAGUCGUAAAGUUCUUUUAUAUGGGAAGAUAAUGACGGUACCAUAAGAAAAAGCCCCGGCUAACUACGUGCCAGCAGCCGCGGUAAUACGUAGGGGGCUAGCGUUGUCCGGAAUCACUGGGCGUAAAGGGUUCGCAGGCGGAAAUGCAAGUCAGGUGUAAAAGGCAGUAGCUUAACUACUGUAAGCAUUUGAAACUGCAUAUCUUGAGAAGUGUAGAGGUAAGUGGAAUUUUUAGUGUAGCGGUGAAAUGCGUAGAUAUUAAAAAGAAUACCGGUGGCGAAGGCGACUUACUGGGCUCAUUCUGACGCUGAGGAACGAAAGCGUGGGUAGCAAACAGG
rnacentral:rRNA from 2 species